UUUUUAGUGGUUGACCUCGGAUCAGGUAGGAAUACCCGCUGAACUUAAGCAUAUCAU
rnacentral:rRNA from 1 species